rnacentral:rRNA from 1 species
AACGAACGCUGGCGGCAGGCUUAACACAUGCAAGUCGAACGCCCCGCAAGGGGAGUGGCAGACGGGUGAGUAACGCGUGGGAAUCUACCUAGUUCUACGGAACAACUGAGGGAAACUUCAGCUAAUACCGUAUACGCCCUACGGGGGAAAGAUUUAUCUGAAUUAGAUGAGCCCGCGUAAGAUUAGCUAGUUGGUGGGGUAAUGGCCUACCAAGGCGACGAUCUUUACCUGGUCUGAGAGGAUGAUCAGCCACACUGGGACUGAGACACGGCCCAGACUCCUACGGGAGGCAGCAGUGGGGAAUAUUGGACAAUGGGCGCAAGCCUGAUCCAGCCAUGCCGCGUGAGUGAUGAAGGCCUUAGGGUUGUAAAGCUCUUUCAGUGGGGAAGAUAAUGACGGUACCCACAGAAGAAGCCCCGGCUAACUUCGUGCCAGCCGCCGCCGUAAUAC